rnacentral:misc_RNA from 1 species
CCUCCCCACCCAGCCGCA